rnacentral:rRNA from 1 species
UACGUAGGGGGCGAGCGUUGUCCGGAAUUAUUGGGCGUAAAGCGCGCGCAGGCGGUCCACUAAGUCUGAUGUGAAAGCCCCCGGCUUAACCGGGGAAGGCCAUUGGAAACUGGUGGACUUGAGUGCAGGAGAGGGGAGUGGAAUUCCACGUGUAGCGGUGAAAUGCGUAGAGAUGUGGAGGAACACCAGUGGCGAAGGCGGCUCUCUGGCCUGCAACUGACGCUGAGGCGCGAAAGCGUGGGGAGCAAACAGG